AGCCCCGUAGUGUAGCGGCCAAUCAUUUUGCCCUUUGGAGGCAGAGACCUAGGUUCAAAUCCUAGCGGGGCUA
rnacentral:tRNA from 1 species